UGCAGCGACGCCAGCGUGAGGGAUGACGGCCUUCGGGUUGUAAACCUCUUUCAGCAGGGACGAAGCGAGAGUGACGGUACCUGCAGAAGAAGCACCGGCCAACUACGUGCCAGCAGCCGCGGUAAUACGUAGGGUGCGAGCGUUGUCCGGAAUUACUGGGCGUAAAGAGCUCGUAGGCGGUUUGUCGCGUCGUCUGUGAAAACCAGCAGCUCAACUGCUGGCUUGCAGGCGAUACGGGCAGACUUGAGUACUGCAGGGGAGACUGGAAUUCCUGGUGUAGCGGUGAAAUGCGCAGAUAUCAGGAGGAACACCGGUGGCGAAGGCGGGUCUCUGGGCAGUAACUGACGCUGAGGAGCGAAAGCGUGGGUAGCGAACAGGAUUAGAUACCCUG
rnacentral:rRNA from 1 species